rnacentral:rRNA from 1 species
GAUGAACGCUGGCGGCGUGCCUAAUACAUGCAAGUCGAGCGGACGGACGAGAAGCUUGCUUCUCUGAUGUUAGCGGCGGACGGGUGAGUAACACGUGGAUAACCUACCUAUAAGACUGGGAUAACUUCGGGAAACCGUAGCUAAUACCGGAUAAUAUUUUGAACCGCAUGGUUCAAAAGUGAAAGACGGUCUUGCUGUCACUUAUAGAUGGAUCCGCGCUGCAUUAGCUAGUUGGUAAGGUAACGGCUUACCAAGGCGACGAUGCAUAGCCGACCUGAGAGGGUGAUCAGUCACACUGGAACUGAGACACGGUCCAGACUCCUACGGGAGGCAGCAGUAGGGAAUCUUCCGCAAUGGGCGAAAGCCUGACGGAGCAACGCCGCGUGAGUGAUGAAGGUCUUCGGAUCGUAAAGCUCUGUUAUUAGGGAAGAACAUAUGUGUAAGUAACUGUGCACAUCUUGACGGUACCUAAUCAGAAAGCCACGGCUAACUACGUG